UGGUUCACCGGUUCACGCCGCGGAAUCGGGGAACGAGACACUCGCGUGGCUAGCCCCGGCAGGUCGGUUCACCGGAUCUGCCGGAGGUGAAGACAAUCGGUGAUCUACGCACGUAGAGGUCUCGCAGGAUCCAUUCGCGGACGCGGGUUCGACUCCCGCCGCCUCCACUC
rnacentral:tmRNA from 1 species